UGUGGUCCGUUGGUUGCAUCUUCGGUAACUUCGAUUUUCAACCCUCGUUUCCUCUUAGUUACGUUGUGCCAAGCUAUUAUGGUUCCGAGUUUUGACCCUAUUUCAUUUCAUUUGUUUUCACUUUGUUCGAUGAAUGAAAUUCUCCCUACAUCAUUUCUGAUCUUGACAAAUUGACUUCCAUUUAGAGCAAUUCUUACCAUUUCUUGUUUCUGGGUUUCUUUUUUUUUUAAUGGAAACUCUUUUUCAGCUGAAAUGGUCAGAAGGCAAG
rnacentral:misc_RNA from 1 species